rnacentral:rRNA from 1 species
GUAGGGUGCGAGCGUUAAUCGGAAUUACCGGGGCGUAAAGCGUGCGCAGGCGGCUUUGCAAGACAGAUGUGAAAUCCCCCGGGGCUCAACCUGGGGAACUGCAUUUGUGACUGCAAGGCUAGAGUACGGCAGAGGGGGAUGGAAUUCCGCGUGUAGCAGUGAAAUGCGUAGAUAUGCGGAGGAACACCGAUGGCGAAGGCAAUCCCCUGGGCCUGUACUGACGCUCAUGCACGAAAGCGUGGGGAGCAAACAGGAUUAGAUACCCUGGUAGUCCACGCCCUAAACGAUGUCAACUGGUUGUUGGACGGCUUGCUGUUCAGUAACGAAGCUAACGCGUGAAGUUGACCGCCUGGGGAGUACGGCCGCAAGGUUG